GACAUUGGAACAACGGUUCUCAUAUGAUCACUGAAGUUAAGCAAUAUUGAACCUGGUCAGUACUGAGAUUGGGUGACUGUUUGGGAAUACCAGGUGCUGUAA